rnacentral:rRNA from 1 species
UAGAGUUUGAUCCUGGCUCAGAACGAACGCUGGCGGCAUGCCUAACACAUGCAAGUCGAACGAUGCCUUCGGGCAUAGUGGCGCACGGGUGCGUAACGCGUGGGAAUCUGCCUUUAGGUUCGGAAUAACUCCUCGAAAGGGGUGCUAAUACCGGAUGAUGUCGAAAGACCAAAGAUUUAUCGCCUGAAGAUGAGCCCGCGUGAGAUUAGCUAGUUGGUGGGGUAAAGGCCUACCAAGGCGACGAUCUCUAGCUGGUCUGAGAGGAUGAUCAGCCACACUGGGACUGAGACACGGCCCAGACUCCUACGGGAGGCAGCAGUGGGGAAUAUUGGACAAUGGGCGAAAGCCUGAUCCAGCAAUGCCGCGUGAGUGAUGAAGGCCUUAGGGUUGUAAAGCUCUUUUACCCGGGAAGAUAAUGACUGUACCGGGAGAAUAAGCUCCGGCUAACUCCGUGCCAGCAGCCGCGGUAAUACGGAGGGAGCUAGCGUUGUUCGGAAUUACUGGGCGUAAAGCGCACGUAGGCGGCUUUGUAAGUCAGAGGUGAAAGCCUGGAGCUCAACUCCAGAACUGCCUUUGAGACUGCAUCGCUUGAAUCCGGGAGAGGUGAGUGGAAUUCCGAGUGUAGAGGU